CUCCGCCCCCGUCGACCCGGCCGGCUCGCUGCUCCGCCACCACCCCCGGCCCAGCUCUAGCUGGCGCAGCGCACCGACCCCGUGUUCCACACCUGCUAUGCCCGGCCCGGCCCAGGCAGGCCCCCGCGACUCGUACCCUGCGCUGCCGCUGACAGACCGACCUGCACUGCACACUUCCCGCCGACUCCACCACCGGCUCCUCGCCGCCCCGCAGCAGCCCGGCCCGGCUCGCUUCCGGCCCGCGCCCCGCCCGCCGCCGCCACCUCACUUCCGCCAGCCGCGGCUGAGGGAAGGCCAUCGCCGGGUCAAGGGAACCGCUGGGCCAUGGGGCACCGGAGCGAAUCUGCCCCUCCUUUCAGCGAGGCACACUAGCAAGCAGGACCCCUGCUGGAAGAAGCUGCGAGCUGGCUAUUCAGCGAAGGCAUAAAAUCCAGACAAGGGGGUGGCAUCUGGAAAGGACAGAGAUGGUCACAGGAUCACAGAAUAUCAGGGGUUGGAAGGGACCCAAGGAGAUGAUCGAGUCCAACCCCCCUGCCACAGCAGGACAAUCCUAUCUAACAUAGAUCACAGAUGCUGUGCUAGGACAUGGACCGCCAACACUGGAUUAACCUUGCCUAUAAGCUAUGUUUCUGGGAGGAAGAGCAAGUACACGGUUCACAAAUAUACCAAAUAACAACCAAAUAUACCAAAUUUCAACCUGAUGGAUGCCAGAAUACCACUGUUUGAACAAAUACUGAGCAGAAUAAACAGGUUUAUCCCCUUUGGCUCCACG